rnacentral:rRNA from 1 species
GACAGAGGUGCCGAGCGUUAGGCGGAAUCACUGGGCUUAAAGCGUGUGUAGGCGGACCGUUAAGUGCCUUGUGAAAUCCCCCGGCUCAACCGGGGAACGGCUGGGCAUACUGGCGGUCUUGAGCCACCUAGGGGCGAGCGGAACAAGCGGUGGAGCGGUGAAAUGCGUAGAUAUCGCUUGGAACGCCGACGGUGAAAACAGCUCGCUGGGGGUGUGCUGACGCUGAGACACGAAAGCCAGGGGAGCGAACGGG